GGAGCUGGGCUAACAGGAACUUGGCUUAGAUCUCCUAGCCAGCACCCUAUUGCAGUGCCUCUUAUUGCAGAGGUGGUGAGUGUUGUGUAUUUAGGUGUCAUAGUAAUUGAAUUCUGUUGUUGCUAUGGCAACUGAGUUAUAUUAUUAGGGAAUAGCCCAGCCAGUUUUGGCUGGUUGCUGAUUAGUUCAGUGUAUGGCAAUAAAUGGCUGCUUUUCAAGAUUUACAGCUCUCUGCAUCUCAAGUGAUUUCUUCCUAAAACUGCUGCCCUCAGGGAUACAACAACAUGGUGAUGAGGAUGGGAUUCUUGUGCUGUCCCAGCAACAGAAGAAGAUCUUAACCCUGUGACACAAACCUGGAGAAGAGACUUUAGAAAGAUCAAGAAAGGCUUUAUCAAAGAGGUAGCAGACCCUGAACUAUUGCUCCCAGCUAAACUAUAUCUGUCUGUAUGAAGAAGUGUAUAUUUUUGGGGAUAUAAAAAAACCCCUCAGAUACUAACUUGAUAAAAUCAGAGGUGACUCCAAUCAGGCUGUUAAAAGAGGGAAAAUAAAAUAUUUUUUUGACA